AGAGUUUGAUCCUGGCUCAGAACGAACGCUGGCGGCAUGCCUAACACAUGCAAGUCGAACGAGACCUUCGGGUCUAGUGGCGCACGGGUGCGUAACGCGUGGGAAUCUGCCCUUGGGUUCGGAAUAACUCAGAGAAAUUUGAGCUAAUACCGGAUGAUGACGUAAGUCCAAAGAUUUAUCGCCCAAGGAUGAGCCCGCGUAAGAUUAGCUUGUUGGUAGGGUAACGGCCUACCAAGGCGACGAUCUUUAGCUGGUCUGAGAGGAUGAUCAGCCACACUGGGACUGAGACACGGCCCAGACUCCUACGGGAGGCAGCAGUGGGGAAUAUUGGACAAUGGGCGAAAGCCUGAUCCAGCAAUGCCGCGUGAGUGAUGAAGGCCUUAGGGUUGUAAAGCUCUUUUACCAGGGAUGAUAAUGACAGUACCUGGAGAAUAAGCUCCGGCUAACUCCGUGCCAGCAGCCGCGGUAAUACGGAGGGAGCUAGCGUUGUUCGGAAUCACUGGGCGUAGAGCGUGCGUAGGCGGUGACUCAAGUCAGAGGUGAAAGCCUGGAG
rnacentral:rRNA from 1 species